rnacentral:rRNA from 1 species
GGGCUCACACAAGCGGUGGAUGAUGUGGCUUAAUUCGAGGCAACGCGAAGAACCUUAUCCUGGACUUGACAUGCUUGGAUGGCUCCCCUGAAAAGGGUGAGUCUGCCUUCGGGUGAAACUUGCACAGGUGCUGCAUGGCUGUCGUCAGCUCGUGUCGUGAGACGUCGCGUUAAGUCGCUUAACGAGCGCAACCCUUGUCCUUAGUUGCCAGCAUGUAAUGGUGGGGACUCUAAGGAGACCGCCGGUGUCAAACCGGAGGAAGGCGGGGACGACGUCAAGUCAUCAUGGCCUUUAUGUUCAGGGCUGCACACGUCAUACAAUGCAACAUACAAAGGGCAGCUAACCCGCGAGGGGGCGCUAAUCUCAAAAAGUGUUGCUCAGUUCGGAUUGCAGGCUGCAACUCGCCUGCAUG